AUGAUGUUUUUCUUCGUUCUGCGCAAGAGCGCAAUGGGAAAUCCUGGCGCGCCCAACGUUCAACUAUUAACCAGUCAUGGGCUGUGGAAGCUUCGCUGUUUUAACAAGGGCAUGUAUUCGUCUGGACUGCGUAGGACCUUUGCUAAGGUACUUUUACUGCCGAAACUGGCUCCAGACCAAUCCAUCAUCCGACCUCAGUCGAGAGAAAGCUGUCGACGACACAAGUUGAUAGGUCCAUGGAAAUAGAGCUGCUGUUAAAGAUCAGCAGUAUGAUUCAUCACAAAUUCCGUCUCAUCCUCCGGUAUGCGCUGAUUACACGCAGGUUCAUCAGCCGCUGCACUCUGCAGAGCUUUUGCAGGUUACACUGCCUACACAAGGCUGCCUUCCAGGCUGCCGCUCCGUACCGAAAAAUGGACGAGGUAACACUCGCCAGGACCCUCCUUCUGCUGCAGCGGAUCGCCGAGUUAUUCGACAUGGCCCGUGAGAGGGCUGCUGUCGCCAUUUUUUUUUUUUUUUUUUACAAGAUGGAAAUUUGACUUCAAACCAUAACAGCCGGGUGUUUGCUGCCGUGUGUGGGUUCGUCCCACUAAAACCACCUUGGGCUUCGUGUGCCAGAUGUGCCCCUUGGUUUCACCCUAUGAUACUACAUCAAGGGGUAGGCUGUGAUCAUGCACUUAUACAUCUCACCCUUUUCCUCUUUCUCAAUUUUUCCUCAAUUUCUCCUUGAUCAUCGUUCUGCUUUAUCCUUCUUCCUCCUUCUCCUUUUCCUCUAUCGUCAACUUCAGACUGGUACGGAAGACCCCGAAACGUGUGCCGGUUAGGUAACGCUUUCAUAAUAACUCACGCCCGUCACAGCAUCCACUAUCCCGGAGACCUCGAAACGUGUGCCGGUUAGGUAACGCUUCCAAAGUAACUCGCGCUCGUCACAGCAACCACUUCCGCAGGAUUUCUAACCACCAAGGCAUGGCCGAUUGAGAAACUACCAAGCUAGAAUCCUGACACGACCACCCCGAAUGGUAUCUCCGCUUCCUUUUGCUGCAGGAAAGAUCGUAGCUGAGUACGUGAGACCUUUUAAGUCCCACCACACGUAUGAGUCCAGAUUAGGGUUAUACCGCGCCCUAAGAUCGCGUUGCUUUUGAAUUGAAGUGUCAUACGAUGCCCAAGACCUUUCAUUAGCUUGUCAAAUUUGGUUGACUAUCUCGCUCUCUCCGUUCAUCAUCUUUCCUGAUCCUUAUCAGAUCGCGCAUGAUUUGCGAGAUUUCGUCGACUAUAGCACGCCAUGACUGUUCGUCGCGACACAUUUCACUCACUAUGUUUUCAGCGUUCAAAUUUUGAAGUUGUUGACGCCUUGAAUUGAACCUGGGGCAGACAAAGAUAGCAUGUUCUGCCGAUUCCUCCGUCUCUACGCAUUCCGGGCAAUAAGGCGAGCUGAUAAGCUUAAACCGAUGAAGAUAUUGCUUAAAGCACCCAUGACCCGAAAGGAACUGCGUCAGGUAGAAGUUGACCUCUCCAUACUUCCGAUUUACCCAGUCUGAAAGUCUCGGGAUUAGCCUAUGCGUCCAUCUUGCGUUGUUCGAUGCGUCCCAUUGCUCCUGCCACUUGAGCAUUGACGCUGCUCGUUGAAUAUUACGCACUCCUCUAACAGCUCUUGCUUUGUAACAUUCCAUAUCCUCCGCCAGAGUUAUGUCGAUGGGAACCAUGCCCGCGAUGACAAAAGCUGCAUCUGUUGAUAUGGUCCUGUACGCACAGGAAACUCGCAUGGCUAUCAACCGAUGUGUGCUCCGUAAUUUGGAUCUGUUGCGCUCUACCUCUAUCGCGGAGCUCCAGGCCGCUCCUCCGUAUCGUAGUUUCGACAGUGCUACGCUCGCAAGGAGACGUCUCUUGCUACUCUUUGGACCAUGGCAGUUCGGCAUAAUCCAGGCCAAUGAAUCUAUGACUUUCGAUGCACUUUCGCAACAGUAUUUGACAUGCGCACCAAAACUUAAGCGAUGGUCGACCAUUACUCUGUAAAAAAAACAUAUUAGCUCCACGAUAAGGAUUAUCAAAUGAUGAAAAAUUUACCUUUUUUAGAUUUUUUUUUUUUAUUUGUCUGCGUUUACACGACUUUGCCUAGGGCCAAUUAUGGCCCAACUUGGCUGACUAGUGUAUGUUACAGUUCUUGUGUAUAUGUGUUCUUGUGUUGUUUUUCUGCAUAUCUAUUUUUAGAAUUUUCGAAUCUACUUUAUCGGUAGCUAUUGUGCCUGCUCUUCUUGUGUUUAUACUCCGGGGAGUUUACAAUCGUUAUUUCGAAUACAUGUGCGUGUUUGUUAUUCAUGGUUGUAUGGGCGAUACCCGAUUUUUUUACUUCUUGUGUUUAUACUCCAGGGGAGUUUACAAUUUCUUGUAUGUUUUGUCCGAAGACCUAUUCUUGGCCGAGGCCUUUAUUCGAUUCUUGUACUCAUGAAGAGUUUACAAUUCUUGGUUUUUUUUAUUGUCCGAAGACAUUCUUAUUCUGUGCGUUUCCGAAGACCUAUUCUUGUUAGCCCUAAGCUAAAGAUGUAUAACUUAGGGCUAUUUUUUGUUAGGGGGGUGAGGAAUCGAACCUCUCAUCAUCUGAUUGAAAAUCAGACCGGCUAGCUGACUGAGCUAACCACCCCCCCUAUUUUUUUAGAUUUUAGAAAUCGAUUGCAAAAUCCUUUUUUUUUUGUUUUCUUGUUCAUCUUCUUUUCGUUGUUUUUAUUUAUUUUUCGAUCAGUGACACUUGACGUUUUAUGACAUUUUGACAGGGUUUUAUACACUCAGAACCAAAACAACCCAAAAAUAAGAACGCCAGUGCAUCAAAACAAAGUUCGACUGGCGUUCUUAAUUUUGGGCUGCUGUCAAUGCACCAAAAUCAAAGUUCGAAGCUCGAACUGACCACCCCAAAAAAAUUUCCCUUUAUUUUCAGUUAGUUUCGUUUUGUAAGCAAAACAAAGCCAGUCGCAUCGGAAACAAUUUUUGUAAACGCUUUUUUCAUGGAUUAUACCUUCUUUAGAAGCCGUACCUACUAGAACAGUAUUUACAUCAUGCCUCCAGAGAAUUUCCGGAAGGAAGAAAAACCAGUGGGAAACCGGAAGAAUCGUAGCCGUUGAUACUAUAUCCACCGGAUGUCAAUUCCAGUGAUGAUUUCAGCCUGGUUUCCUUCCGGGUACAUCCUGCAGGACAGACCCAUUGAUUCUGGAAGGAAAAUGUAAGCUUUAAGAAGAUCUGUUCUUUAUGAUGGCAACGGCACUCUUUAAUCCCUGACCGAAUUGCUUGAAAAUUUCUCCGGGCUGAAUCAGGCUCGAGUUUAUUAAAUUACUUUCUUCAAAAACUUCCGCCGAAGUCAGUUUAUUGUGAAAAAAAUAUUUUUGGGAAUAAAAUUAAAUAAGAAAUAUGAAUAAAAAUAUUGUGUUCAUUAAAUUUUCAUACUCCCUUUUGAUAUUUGGUUCAUCAAAUGAAAAAAAUCCCAAAAAAGUUGAGGAGGUUGUAUUUUUGCUACGACCGCAAACGUAGAAUUACAAUUUGCUCCUGUCAAUCGUUCAUAUUGUUUGUAUUGAAUUUAUGGCGAUUUUUUAAAUGAUGAUUUUAACCGAUUUUUAUAACAGUGGCUUUCAAUAUAAUAACAAUUCUUCUUAAAAUUUCGAUAGAUUGAAGUUAAUUUCACCUCCGCCCAACAAAUUCAGUUUUGCGAAGAAAUAAAAAGACCAUUUCCGAAAUAUCCAAAAAAUGAGUCCAGUGAAUAGAUUUGGAGUUUAUUUGAGCGAAACAACA